rnacentral:other from 1 species
CGUAUCCUGAAAUGUUCGAUACCUUCUGAGUUUUUGAACCUACAAUACUUUAAACGGGAUUCCUAUAUCUGGAGUCGGAUGCCGGGCCGUCACUGCUCACUUUGUGGGUACUAUGGUAACAUAGCAACGGAAGGCUGAAGGCUACAUGCGGUUGCCCACCUAGCGGAUAGCUAGGAGUCAAAAAUCAGAAGCCGGCAUUUUGGGGAUUAU